rnacentral:rRNA from 1 species
AUUGAACGCUGGCGGCAUGCUUUACACGUGCAAGUCGAACGGCAGCACGGGUGCUUGCUACCUGGUGGCGAGUGGCGGACGGGUGAGUAAUACAUCGGAACGUGUCCAGAAGGAGGGGAUAACGCAUCGAAAGAUGUGCUAAUACCGCAUAUGCUCUGAGGAGAAAGUAGGGGAUCGAAAGACCUUGCGCUUUUGGAGCGGCCGAUGUCUGAUUAGCUAGUUGGUGGGUAAGGGCCUACCAAGGCGACGAUCAGUAGUUGGUCUGAGAGGACGGCCAGCCACACUGGGACUGAGACACGGCCCAGACUCCUACGGGAGGCAGCAGUGGGGAAUUUUGGACAAUGGGCGCAAGCCUGAUCCAGCAAUGCCGCGUGAGUGAAGAAGGCCUUCGGGUUGUAAAGCUCUUUCAGUCGAGAAGAAAAGGCUGCAGUGAAUAACUGUAGUUUAUGACGGUAUCGACAGAAGAAGCACCGGCUAACUACGUG